rnacentral:rRNA from 1 species
UGAGAUUUUAACACGAAGUGAGUGGCGAACGGGUGAGUAACACGUGGGUAACCUGCCCAGAAGUAGGGGAUAACACCUGGAAACAGAUGCUAAUACCGUAUAACAGAGAAAACCGCAUGGUUUUCUUUUAAAAGAUGGCUCUGCUAUCACUUCUGGAUGGACCCGCGGCGUAUUAGCUAGUUGGUGAGGUAAAGGCUCACCAA